rnacentral:rRNA from 1 species
UCGAGAAUCUUCCGCAAUGGGCGAAAGCCUGACGGAGCGAUGUCGCGUGAUGGAUGAAGUGCUUUGGUACGUAAACAUCUUUUAUAGGGGAGGAAGUCAUUGACGUUACCCUAUGAAUAAGGGGCUCCUAACUCUGUGCCAGCAGGAGCGGUAAUACAGAGGCCCCAAGCGUUACCCGGAAUUACUGGGCGUAAAGGGUGUGUAGGUGGUCGUAUUAGUCGUUCGUCAAAUCCCGGGGCUUAACUCCGGAACUGCGGGCGAAACGGUACGACUCGAGGGCGCGAGAGGUAUGUGGAACUCAUGGUGUAGGGGUGAAAUCCGUUGAUAUCAUGGGGAACACCGAAAGCGAAGGCAGCAUACUGGCGCGUUCCUGACACUGAGACACGAAAGCGUGGGUCGC